rnacentral:rRNA from 1 species
GUAGGUGGCAAGCGUUGUCCGGAAUUAUUGGGCGUAAAGCGCGCGCAGGCGGUUCUUUAAGUCUGAUGUGAAAGCCCACGGGCUCAACCGUGGAGGGUCAUUGGAAACUGGAGAACUUGAGUACAGAAGAGGAAAGCGGAAUUCCACGUGUAGCGGUGAAAUGCGUAGAGAUGUGGAGGAACACCAGGGGCGAAGGCGGCUUUCUGGUCUGUAACUGACGCUGAGGCGCGAAAGCGUGGGGAGCAAACAGGAUUAGAUACCCUGGUAGUCCACGCCGUAAACGAUGAGUGCUGAGUGUUAGGGGGUUUCCGCCCCUUAGUGCUGCAGCUAACGCAUUAAGCACUCCGCCUGGGGAGUACGGCCGCAAAGGCUG